rnacentral:rRNA from 1 species
GAUUUCCCAACUUCGGUUAUAAGAUCCCUCGAAGAUGACGAGGUUAAUAGGUUCGAGGUGGAAGCGUGGUGACACGUGGAGCUGACGAAUACUAAUCGAUCGAAGACUUAAUCAA